UACAGAGGGGGCAAGCGUUGUUCGGAAUUACUGGGCGUAAAGGGCGCGUGGGCGGCCAUCUAAGUCGAACGUGAAAUCCCCGGGCUCAACCCGGGAACUGCGUCCGAUACUGGUUGGCUUGAAUCCGGGAGAGGGAUGCGGAAUUCCAGGUGUAGCGGUGAAAUGCGUAGAUAUCUGGAGGAACACCGGUGGCGAAGGCGGCAUCCUGGACCGGCAUUGACGCUGAGGCGCGAAAGCCAGGGGAGCAAACGGG
rnacentral:rRNA from 1 species